CCUACGGGAGGCAGCAGUGGGGAAUAUUGGGCAAUGGGCGCAAGCCUGACCCAGCAAUGCCGCGUGAAGGAAGAAGGCCCUCGGGUUGUAAACUUCUUUUAUCAGGGACGAAGGAUGUGACGGUACCUGAUGAAUAAGCUCCGGCUAACUACGUGCCAGCAGCCGCGGUAAUACGUAGGGAGCAAGCGUUAUCCGGAUUUACUGGGUGUAAAGGGCGCGUAGGCGGGAUGGCAAGUCAGAUGUGAAAACUCAGGGCUCAACCCUGAGCCUGCAUUUGAAACUGUGUUUCUUGAGUGCUGGAGAGGCAAUCGGAAUUCCGGGUGUAGCGGUGAAAUGCGUAGAUAUACGGAGGAACACCAGUGGCGAAGGCGGAUUGCUGGACAGUAACUGACGCUGAGGCGCGAAAGCGUGGGGAGCAAACAGGAUUAGAUACCCCAGUAGUC
rnacentral:rRNA from 1 species